GACUUACAAACUGGUCAAGAGCGUCUUUCGUUACCAGUCCACGUUGGCAAGUUCCUUCAAGUUAUACACCUCUGAUUUUACCUCAAGGAGUAGUAUCUGUUCCACGCUGGAACGCAUACUGUGGUCAGUUGGGAUCAGUUUCUUCUCCAGAGGGUCGGCAACAAACAGGAAACAGUCAGAUAUAUGAAACCUCCCGCCAGAGUGAAUUGGUAAAUACAGUAUCUCAAGGGGCACUUUCUCCAUUCCGUUCUAGCUCUGUCCCUGUAGGAUUUUAUGCAUUGCAAAGGGAGAAUGUUUUUCCUGAGAGACCUGGCCAGCCUGAAUGCCAGUUUUACAUGAAGACUGGGGACUGUAAGUUUGGUGCAGUUUGUAGGUUCCAUCACCCAAGAGAA
rnacentral:misc_RNA from 1 species